rnacentral:rRNA from 1 species
UGCUGGCGCAGACUACCAUGCAGUCGAGCGGUAACAGAUCCAGCUUGCUGGAUGCUGACGAGCGGCGGACGGGUGAGUAAUGCAUAGGAAUCUGCCCGAUAGUGGGGGAUAACCUGGGGAAACCCAGGCUAAUACCGCAUACGUCCUACGGGAGAAAGGGGGCUUCGGCUCCCGCUAUCGGAUGAGCCUAUGUCGGAUUAGCUAGUUGGUGAGGUAACGGCUCACCAAGGCCACGAUCCGUAGCUGGUCUGAGAGGAUGAUCAGCCACAUCGGGACUGAGACACGGCCCGAACUCCUACGGGAGGCAGCAGUGGGGAAUAUUGGACAAUGGGGGGAACCCUGAUCCAGCCAUGCCGCGUGUGUGAAGAAGGCCCUCGGGUUGUAAAGCACUUUCAGCGAGGAAGAACGCCUAGCGGUUAAUACCCGCUAGGAAAGACAUCACUCGCAGAAGAAGCACCGGCUAACUCCGUGCCAGCAGCCGCGGUAAUACGGAGGGUGCAAGCGUUAAUCGGAAUUACUGGGCGUAAAGCGCGCGUAGGUGGCUUGAUAAGCCGGUUGUGAAAGCCCCGGGCUCAACCUGGGAACGGCAUCCGGAACUGUCAAGCUAGAGUGCAGGAGAGGAAGGUAGAAUUCCCGGUGUAGCGGUGAAAUGCGUAGAGAUCGGGAGGAAUACCAGUGGCGAAGGCGGCCUUCUGGACUGACACUGACACUGAGGUGCGAAAGCGUGGGUAGCAAACAGGAUUAGAUACCC